UACGUAGGGGGCUAGCGUUGUCCGGAUUUAUUGGGCGUAAAGAGCGUGUAGGCGGCCAGGUAGGUCCGGUGUGAAAACUCGAGGCUUAACCUCGAGAUGUCAUCGGAAACCAUCUGGCUAGAGUCCGGAAGAGGAGAGUGGAAUUCCUGGUGUAGCGGUGAAAUGCGCAGAUAUCAGGAAGAACACCUAUGGCGAAAGCAGCUCUCUGGGACGGUACUGACGCUGAGACGCGAAAGCGUGGGGAGCGAACAGG
rnacentral:rRNA from 1 species